UACGUAGGGUGCAAGCGUUGUCCGGAAUUAUUGGGCGUAAAGAGCUCGUAGGCGGUCUGUCGCGUCGGGUGUGAAAAUCCAGGGCUUAACCCUGGACCUGCAUUCGAUACGGGCAGACUAGAGUUCGGUAGGGGAGACUGGAAUUCCUGGUGUAGCGGUGAAAUGCGCAGAUAUCAGGAAGAACACCCGUGGCGAAGGCGGCUCUCUGGGACGGUACUGACGCUGAGACGCGAAAGCGUGGGGAGCGAACAGG
rnacentral:rRNA from 1 species